AAAGAUUAAGCCAUGCAUGUCUAAGUAUAAACAAAUUUAUACAGUGAAACUGCGAAUGGCUCAUUAAAUCAGUUAUAAUUUAUUUGAUAUUCACUUACUACUUGGAUAACCGUGGUAAUUCUAGAGCGAAUACAUGCUAAAAAUCCCGACUUCGGAAGGGAUGUAUUUAUUAGAUUAAAAACCAAUGCCCUUCGGGGCUCACUGGUGAUUCAUGACAACUCCUCGAAUCGCAUGGCCUUGUGCCGGCGAUGGUUCACUCAAAUUUCUUCCCUAUCAACUUUCGAUGUUUGGGUAUUGGCCAAACAUGGUUG
rnacentral:rRNA from 1 species